rnacentral:sRNA from 1 species
GUUUGGCCGCGGAUAGCAGUGGAAAGCUUCGAAGCUUGAAAAGCUGUUUUUUGCUGCGCUGGCAGAGCGACCAACGGAAGCUCCUGGCGGCGGAUGUAAAAAAAGCUUUUCAGGCUAGAACUUGCAACGGAUAGCCGGCAACUGG